AUUGGAGGGCAAGUCUGGUGCCAGCAGCCGCGGUAAUUCCAGCUCCAAUAGCGUAUAUUAAAGUUGUUGCAGUUAAAAAGCCCGUAGUUGAACUUCAGACCUGGCUGGGCGGUCUGCCUAACGGUAUGUACUGUCUGGCCGGGUCUUACCUCUUGGUGAGCCGGCAUGCCCUUCACUGGGUGUGUCGGGGAACCAGGACUUUUACCUUGAGAAAAUUAGAGUGUUCAAAGCAGGCCUAUGCCCGAAUACAUUAGCAUGGAAUAAUAAAAUAGGACGUGCGGUUCUAUUUUGUUGGUUUCUAGAGUCGCCGUAAUGAUUAAUAGGGAUAGUUGGGGGCAUUAGUAUUCAGUUGCUAGAGGUGAAAUUCUUGGAUUUACUGAAGACUAACUACUGCGAAAGCAUUUGCCAAGGAUGUUUUCAUUAAUCAAGGACGAAGGUUAGGGGAUCGAAAACGAUCAGAUACCGUUGUAGUCUUAACAGUAAACUAUGCCGACUAGGGAUCGG
rnacentral:rRNA from 1 species